AUGAAUCUCGGAGUUGUUAGCAUUCACAGCAAAGGGCAUUUCCAGGCUAAAAUCUAAGUAAACAAGCUCCAGAACAAAGAAGACACCAUGUUCAAAGUGUGUGAAAAUGGAUAACAAAUAGGAAACAUUUAAAAACAAGGACUUUGUGGUAAACCAUGUUUCCUUGAUGUGCUUUCUGUCAUGGUAUCUGAAACACUGCAAAAGGACAUCGAAGAUCUGGGAGGGAGAGCUGACAAUCUUCCCAAAUAAGAUACAGUUAUCUUAUUUCAAAUAAAAAGGAAGCAAAAUUGGCACAAGCUUUGGGUCAAAUUUCUCCUGUGCCAAGUCUAGAAUCAGCAGGUAGUGCUGAAAUCACUGUCCCACAUCCCAGACAUAGUGAGCAUUCUUUUAAGGCUCCAGGCUCAAGUGUGUGCAAACAGAGGGAAAUUACACUUGAAAAAAAAGAUCAAGGACCGUGAAUUAGAUACAACCUUGGGCAACAAAAGCAGCAACCAUGAAAGGUUGUAUGUACUUAAGAAGUCAAACACUUCUGGGAAAGCUGUGGGGAAGAGAGUUGGUAUAUGGGAAAAAAGUGGUAAACUCAAAACGCCUUUUGUAUGGAGAAAGGCAUUGGCCAGCUUUAAAGGCACUGCAGCAUCAGUUGAGCAAGUGCUUUUAAUAAAUUACUCUCUUUUGUAGCUCUGUACUUUUUCUGAUAUGGAUAAGCUAUCUAGCAUCCAAAGCAAACUCAUCUUAAACCAAGAAUUCAAACAAAUGAUAAUAAAGAUGGUAGAAUGCCUAUUCCACUCCAUUUGAAAGAGAUGCACAAAAGAAAAUGGUAGGUGUUGCUUGCAGGAGUGUGAUAAUAGUGUUGCUCUUCUAAACUGGCAACUUUAUGAGUAGAUCAUCAAAGCCAAGGUAUUUUACUUUGUGGAAUAAGAAACGAUCACACCGAAAAUAAUAAAAUUCAGCACUGGAGGUUUUCUGCCCUUUAUAAAUGUUUUUCAAAGACGGAACCGAAAGAAUAGCUUGAGUGAUAACAAGCUUUUCAGAAGGAGCUCUGGAAAUUAAUAUGGGACAGGUGAUGGAGCAAGACUUUCAGCAUGAAGAAGCCCAGGAACUGGGAAAACACAAGUCUUUACUUCAGAAUCACCCCAUAGCCUCCAAGUAGUGUGUUGCAGGUUGAAUCUAGCUGCAAAUGGCAUAAAACAGAAUAUUAAUAGCUAUAUCCACAUAUCAUUAAACUAGGUACAUUCUUGAUGUUCCUGAAUAUAAGGAGAUUAUAAAUUAAAAUGAUUCUGAAAAACUACAGACAUUGAUGCAAGUUUCUAGUUUCAACCAGGAUAAUAUCACAUCUCACCUCAAACAAAAGGCAUUUUCUUCAGAAAGGAACUAAAAAAAAAUGGCCUUUAUUCUAUACUUGCUUAUGGUUCUGGUUUAAAAACAAAAACAGGUUCCAGAAGACUACUUAUUCAAAGACCCUGCCCCACAUUCCUCUUGAGGAUCCCAGUGAAUGUGGCACUGAUAAUAUGAAUGGUUUACCUUC
rnacentral:lncRNA from 1 species